rnacentral:rRNA from 1 species
UAGGGAAUCUUCGGCAAUGGACGAAAGUCUGACCGAGCAACGCCGCGUGAGUGAAGAAGGUUUUCGGAUCGUAAAACUCUGUUGGUAGAGAAGAACGUUGGUGAGAGUGGAAAGCUCAUCAAGUGACGGUAACUACCCAGAAAGGGACGGCUAACUACGUGCUA